GAUGAACGCUGGCGGCGUGCCUAAUACAUGCAAGUCGAGCGAACGGACGAGAAGCUUGCUUCUCUGAUGUUAGCGGCGGACGGGUGAGUAACACGUGGAUAACCUACCUAUAAGACUGGGAUAACUUCGGGAAACCGGAGCUAAUACCGGAUGAUAUUUUGAACCGCAUGGUUCAAAAGUGAAAGACGGUCUUGCUGUCACUUAUAGAUGUAUCCGCGCUGCAUUAGCUAGUUGGUAAGGUAACGGCUUACCAAGGCAACGAUGCAUAGCCGACCUGAGAGGGUGAUCAGCCACACUGGAACUGAGACACGGUCCAGACUCCUACGGGAGGCAGCAGUAGGGAAUCUUCCGCAAUGGGCGAAAGCCUGACGGAGCAACGCCGCGUGAGUGAUGAAGGUCUUCGGAUCGUAAAACUCUGUUAUUAGGGAAGAACAUAUGUGUACGUAACUGUGCACAUCUUGACGGUACCUAAUCAGAAAGCCACGGCUAACUACGUG
rnacentral:rRNA from 1 species